rnacentral:rRNA from 1 species
GACGCGCGCGCUCGACGUGCUGCAGAAGAACCCGAACGGCUAUUUCCUGAUGGUCGAAGGCGGGCGCAUCGAUCACGCGCUGCACGACACGAACGCGAAGCGCGCGCUGCAGGAUACGGUCGCGUUCGACAACGCGAUCAAGGCGACGCUCGACAAGGUGCGCCAGACCGAUCCGGAGUUGAAGAACACGCUCGUCGUCGUGACGGCCGACCACGAUCACACGCUGGUGCUCAACGGCUACGCGGCGCGCACGGGCAAGACGGAAGCGGGCAAGCCGGGCGUGCUCGGCGUGCUGCGCAACUAUCAGACGGGCGCGGUCGCGAAGGACGCGGACGGCGCGCCGUACACGAUCAUCGGCUUCGGCAACGGCGAGAACCGCGUGCAAGGCAGCCGCGCGGGCACGAGCCUCACCGACGCGGUGACGGGCGCGGACGAUUAUCGCCAGGAAGCGGUCGUGCGCAUGGCCAAGGGCGGCGAGACGCACGGCGGCACCGACGUGUUCCUCGGCGCGAUCGGCCGCGGCGCGGACGGCUUUCACGGCGUGAUCGAGAACAACAAGGUGUUCGAGCUCGUGCGCGGCGCGGCGCAGCUCUGAGCGCGGCUUGACGGGAAACAGGGGAAUACAGGAUGUCGACUAUCAAGCGCAUCGCGGCGGCGGCGUUCGCCGCGGCGGCCCUCUCGGGCGGUUUCGGCCACGCGGCGCACGCCGCGGGCCAGGCGAAGAACGUGAUCUUCUUCCUCGGCGACGGGAUGGGGCCGGCCACCGUGACGGCGAGCCGCCUCUACAAGGUCGGCGAAGCCAGCCAACUGACGAUGGAAAAGCUGCCGCGCACCGCGCGCAUCAAGACCUUCUCGAACGACGCGCAGACGACGGACAGCGCGCCGUCGAUGGCCGCGUACAUGACCGGCGUGAAGAUGAACAACGAGGUGCUGUCGAUGUCGCCGGACACGCGCGCGAUCGCCCCCGGCAGCGACGCGAACGGCAACAAGACGGUGAACCGCUGCGGCGUGGGCAACGGCACGCCGGCGGCGACGCUGCUCGAGCUCGCGAAGGCGCGCGGCAAGGCGGUCGGCGCGAUCACGACGACCGAGCUCACGCACGCGACGCCCGCGGCGACCUACUCGCACAUCUGCCAUCGCGACGCGCAGUACGACAUUGCCGCGCAGGCCGUGCCGGGCGGCGCGGGCUACAACGCGGCGCUCGGCGACGGCGUCGACGUGCUGAUGGGCGGCGGCCGCAAUCACUGGACGCCGUACGAUCCGCUCGCCAACAGGCGCGGCCGCGCGGAUGGGCGCAACCUGCUCGCCGAGCUGCAGGCGAAGGGCUACGCGGUGGUCGCGACGAAGGAUCAGCUCGCGCAGGCGGGCGCGGGCAAGCUGAUCGGCCUUUUCAGCACGACGAGCCAUCUCGAAUACGAGCUCGACCGCGUCGCGGGCAAGGGCG